UUUGUAGUUCUACCGGGAGGAAAAGUGGCGAAUCUUCUCGAAGAUAUGACAAUUUAAGCAUCCUACUUCACUGGCUGUGUUAUACAUAGUCAGGGAUUUCGACUCUCAUCUGUUUCGCGCUACCACCCCAACAUGGGGUGGGUUUCGGCCAGAUGAUUGUCUGGAUGGUUAAACUAUCAUAUGUUGGUUUGGCUCUAAUUUAAAUAAAAAGCUCUGAUCAGGAGCUGGCUAGGGAGAUCGGGGACCGAGGUCGAGCCGACCAACUAAACCAAACUCACGGCUGCAUAUCUGACCGGAUAGUGCCGAAGUCUACCCUGGAGGGAGAGUCAUCGGCUGGGACACUUUCUGUCCGGUGGGUGUUUUGGUGACUCGUAUCAGGUGUUCUGCUUUUAAUUAGGUUAUUCAAUUUAAUUGAUUUGGAUUCCAAAAUAGUUUUUAUAUAUUCGUGAAUUACGUUCCAUUUAUCCUGUGUAUCCAGCAUAAUAUUUAUAAUGUUCUAUGGAGUUAUACUAUGGUUAAGUUUACUUUCGAGUUCAGUCCUUUCUGUUUUGAAAGUGUCAUAGCCGAAAAAAGUAUGUUCGGCAGUAUCCUGGGCAGACAGGCAUAUAGGAGGCAUUGCGGGGACGGGGAGAGUUUAACUUUAAAGAGAUAGUGGGCGAAACUUCCAUGACCUGACAAAAAUUGGGUCAGGAAGUAAUCCGUUUCACCACGAGUACGUUGUAUCCAUCUUUGAAGGGUGGGCAUGAGCUUGUGAAGCCAUUUGUCCUGUCCGUUAUCUUUCUGUAUCCAUCUCUCGUUCCAUCUUCGGUUGAUGUUUUCUUCCACUUCUCUGGGGUCUUUCGUUUUACUCAUAAGUCUCAACUUCCUUUUCACUAGCAGAUCGGUUGGCGGGAUGUCCGUAAUGACAUCCAGGCAGUUAUUGCUUACUGUCCUGUACGCACUGCUGAGAUAUUUCUUCACAGGGCGGAUGGUUGAGAGCUACCAACUGGUUACAAUCAUCAAUGUCAUCACUCCUUGAAGAUUGCAAGUUUCAUUGGGUUGGAAUAUAGUUUAGAAUACAGAUACAUUAAUCUACCAAACCAAGAAGAAGAAGAAAAAUAAACAGGAAG